rnacentral:rRNA from 1 species
GUGGGGAAUAUUGGACAAUGGGCGAAAGCCUGAUCCAGCCAUGCCGCGUGUGUGAAGAAGGUCUUCGGAUUGUAAAGCACUUUAAGUUGGGAGGAAGGGCAGUAAGUUAAUACCUUGCUGUUUUGACGUUACCGACAGAAUAAGCACCGGCUAACUUCGUGCCAGCAGCCGCGGUAAUACGAAGGGUGCAAGCGUUAAUCGGAAUUACUGGGCGUAAAGCGCGCGUAGGUGGUUUUGUAAGUUGGAGGUGAAAUCCCCGGGCUCAACCUGGGAACUGCCUCCAAAACUGCAUGACUAGAGUACGGUAGAGGGUAGUGGAAUUUCCUGUGUAGCGGUAAAAUGCGUAGAUAUAGGAAGGAACACCAGUGGCGAAGGCGACUACCUGGACUGAUACUGACACUGAGGUGCGAAAGCGUGGGGAGCAAACAGGAUUAGAAACCCCAGUAGUCC